UGUCCAGGUGGACGCUGCAGUUUUUGCCCCAGGCAUAAAGUAGCCAGAAGUACAAAAACUUCCUGUUUGCAGCCCAGAUCUCCUCCAGCUACUGAGAAGUUGCUCCAGUGAUGGAGCCCCAGAGGAAUUUGUGGAUUUCUCUCCCACAAGUGUCCAGGGGCAGGGGUGCUGAGAGAAUGUGGAGUUCACAGAGGGGGUGAGAAUGGCAGUCAUAACAGAUGAACCAGACUAAAAAGAAAAAA
rnacentral:lncRNA from 1 species